rnacentral:rRNA from 1 species
UAGCUAGUUGGUGAGGUAAAGGCUCACCAAGGCGACGAUCUGUAGCGGGUCUGAGAGGAUGAUCCGCCACACUGGAACUGAGACACGGUCCAGACUCCUACGGGAGGCAGCAGUGGGGAAUUUUGGACAAUGGGGGCAACCCUGAUCCAGCCAUGCCGCGUGAGUGAAGAAGGCCUUCGGGUUGUAAAGCUCUUUCGGCCGGGAAGAAAUCGUAUGGGUUAAUACCCUGUGCGGAUGACGGUACCGGCAUAAGAAGCACCGGCUAACUACGUGCCAGCAGCCGCGGUGAUACGUAGGGUGCGAGCGUUAAUCGGAAUUACUGGGCGUAAAGCGUGCGCAGGCGGUUUUGUAAGACAGGCGUGAAAUCCCCGGGCUCAACCUGGGAACUGCGUUUGUGACUGCAAGGCUAGAGUAUGGCAGAGGGGGGUGGAAUUCCACGUGUAGCAGUGAAAUGCGUAGAGAUGUGGAGGAACACCAAUGGCGAAGGCAGCCCCCUGGGCCAAUACUGACGCUCAUGCACGAAAGCGUGGGUAGCAAACAGGAUUAGAUACCCUGGUAGUCCACGCCCUAAACGAUGUCAACUAGGUGUUGGGUGGGUAAAACCAUUUAGUACCGGAGCUAACGCGUGAAGUUGACCGCCUGGGGAGUACGGCCGCAAGGUUAAAACUCAAAGGAAUUGACGGGGACCCGCACAAGCGGUGGAUGAUGUGGAUUAAUUCGAUGCAACGCGAAAAACCUUACCUACCCUUGACAUGUCCAGGAGCCUGAAGAGAUUUGGGUGUGCCCGAAAGGGAACUGGAACACAGGUGCUGCAUGGCUGUCGUCAGCUCGUGUCGUGAGAUGUUGGGUUAAGUCCCGCAACGAGCGCAACCCUUGUCGUUAAUUGCCAUCAUUUAGUUGGGCACUUUAACGAGACUGCCGGUGACAAACCGGAGGAAGGUGGGGAUGACGUCAAGUCCUCAUGGCCCUUAUGGGUAGGGCUUCACACGUCAUACAGUGGUCGGUACAAAGGGUUGCCAACCCGCGAGGGGGAGCCAAUCCCAGAAAGCCGAUCGUAGUCCGGAUUGCAGGCUGCAACUCGCCUGCAUGAAGUCGGAAUCGCUAGUAAUCGUGGAUCAGCAUGUCACGGUAAAUACGUUCCCGGGUCUUGUACACACCGCCCGUCACACCAUGGGAGCGGGUUCCGCCAGAAGUAGGUAGCCUAACCGCAAGGGGGGCGCUUACCACGGCGGGGUUCGUGACUGGGGUGAAGUCGAAACAAGGUAGCCGUAGGGGAACCUGCGGCUG